rnacentral:rRNA from 1 species
CCUACGGGAGGCAGCAGUGAGGAAUAUUGCGCAAUGGGGGCAACCCUGACGCAGCGACGCCGCGUGGAUGAUGAAGGCCUUCGGGUCGUAAAAUCCUGUCAGGUGGAAAGAAAUGUAUAUGUGCUAAUACCAUGUAUACUUGACGGUACCACCGAAGGAAGCACCGGCUAACUCCGUGCCAGCAGCCGCGGUAAUA